rnacentral:pre_miRNA from 14 species
CCAGUAGGCACCACUCGGAAAAACUGAGUUUAUGUGUGUACUUGACGGCCACUCGAGCAACGAUCUAGCACCAUAUAAAUUCAGUAUUUUCGUGGAGAGAGCCAAUUUU